GUUACAUGUCCGGAGUUAAAAAGGAAAUCCGUGUAAAUCGGAUACAGUCACCUCUACUGUGAAAUGGACAAGGAAAUAGUACCAUUGGGGAAAACCCGAGAAGGUAUUUCUGCGGAAGAAGUUGAGUCAGAAGACUUGCCGUUAUAA
rnacentral:ncRNA from 1 species